UGAGGUGUUGCAAGCAGAUACACAUGUGCUGUAGCUGUGCUUUAGAUUUGGAUUCGCCUCUGGGGACAGGCAGUGAUAAGUGUUAAGAGCUGUUUAGAUCCCAAACUGUUGUUUCUGAAUCGACUUCCAGUGAGAGCAGAAGACACGAGGGUGAGGGAGCAGCCGCUUCCCCUGCCAGGAGCAUCCUGCUGGGACAGGAGGCACCCCGAGCUCUCCAUGCUCUCUCAGCAGCCUGGGUUAAUGGCCAGGCUGAUGCUGGUGGUAGGGUUUCCCCACAACUGUGGGGAAAAAGGGUUUGCCCUUGUUCAGUGCCUGCCCCCGGGAUUUUGCCUGUCAGCUGCAGGGGCAGGUUUGGGUCUGUCGAGGCAGUUCCCCUGUGGAAAGAGGCUGCUGUGAUUAAUGACCAGUGAUGAAUGAGAGGGAAAGGGGUAGGGGGAGAGAACUGCCAAGGCUUUAACUCCACUGGGUGCAAAGGUUCAGCCUGCUUUGGAUCUGCCGGCAGGAGGGGAAGGCACGUCCAGGUCCUCAGCCAGCCGGGGUGUUAACAAGCGAGAGGUGAGCCUGGGUGAUUAGGAUGUCCACGGCUGCGUUGCAUAAAUCAGACUUGGAACGCCAGGAAAAGUCUCCAGGGUGAUGAAAUGUCUAAGUGUCAUCAGCUCUGCAGAGAUAAUUAGAACCAGAAAAGCACCGGGAGGUAAAAUGGCACAGAUCAGUGAAAACAGGCUUGUGGGCUCGGGAUCCUCGUGGAUCUGCGCUGACUGCAGGCUGGUGAGGGGGGGGAUGGCCAUGGGGGAGGCUGGGUGUUUAUGGAGGAGUUGCAGGGGUUAAUCCUCCUCAAUCUUGGAGACAACCACCUCUGAAAGAGGGAAGUCUUCCUGCCAAAUGUGAUUCCCUGCUUAUUCGGAUGCCUUGAACAGAAAGUGAGGAAUGGAGGGGAACGGCGGGGAUCCACUGCUGCUCUGCCUGUGCAGUCAGUGCGAGGGAGGGCGACCCCCCUGCCUCACUCUGGGCUUGGCCUCUGUGAACUGUAAAUCCCAGCCCUGUAACGUGGGGGUUGGUGUCAUCCUGGGGGACCCCGCUGGGGGCCAGGAGGCUGUGUGGGACCUUAGGCUGAGCAGAGUCACAGUGUGGGUACAAUGUCCCCAGGAGCCACCGGCAUCUCCUCCAGUGGUGACCACACUCUGAGGACAGGUCCGCCCGGACCAUCCCCAGAGGUCCUGUCCCACCUUCAGUCAGUCGGGGACUGUGGGAGGGAGCUCUGGCAGCUGCAGCUGCUCUGCUGCCAGCACCACAUGCUUGUCCAGCUGCGGCAUGGAGGCUCGUGGCCAGCCAACAUGAGGACAGGAGCCACUAUUUCCAGUGGCUUGGUGGUGGUCGUGAAGAAGACCCUGUGUGUCCUCAUGGAGCCAUCACAAAGCUAGUUCCUCGCAGGAGAGCCUCAUGUGGGGCCGUGGCUGGUGCUGGCUGAGCCCCGUGGAGCAGGAUUGCUCCUGGGCAAGUCGCCGUGCUGCUGGAAGCCACCUGAGCUGUGCAGACAGGCUCAGAGCUGAGCUGCUGCAACACGUCCGCCUCCAGGCGCUGCGGUGGUGAAGCUGUUCAGCUUUCAAGCCUCCUUGAAGGAGGCAAGGCUGUGAAGCAAUGUGGAAGUUAAACAGCAGCAGCCACUUGAGCAUCUUUGACGUCAGGUCUGACUGGCUGGUGGCAGCGGCAGGGUUAUUUUGCAAAAUAGCCAUGAAGUAUCUGGCGGGGUUUUGUUUUUCUAGCUGCCUCCUUGCUGGUGCCCCAAAGAUUUACAGUGAAGGGCAAAUGUUUGCUCUCUCCCCUUGUACCUGCCUGUGCCCAAGUGCUUGCUGAUGCUGUGCUCCUAGCUCGGGAGGAGCUCUUUGCUGGCUGUGAAAUCUCUGCCUGGAUUAAGUGUCAAAAGGCAAGUCCUUGGCUUAUGGGAAGAGCACACUUGACCUCUGACUCCUCAGAGCUGCGCUCUCCCUUGGGAGGAAGUGUUGGUUCAGGCCCUGAACAAAGCACUGGCUGUCAUGAGCAUGACCUGCCCGCCCCGGCAGUGACAGGCUGGGCUGGGGUCAGAUUUAUGCUCCGGAGGGGAGGAGGAAGAGACAGAAGACCCCGUGACCUGGAAGCUUAGAGGUGACCAGCUCAACUUACUGAGAAAAGCAAAGCUACGUUGCCUCCUGUGUUGGUCACAAUACAUUGUCCAGGCAGAUGGGCCACUGGCACAUCCAGCACCCCUCUCCCUGAAUUCCUGCUAACAUCUUUGCAGCUUCUCCAGGUCCCACAGAAGAUGUCCGCAGUAGCAAACUUGGCCCUAGCCUGGACUUAAGACAACAUUACAUGUGGUCUGUGGUAUUUGUGCAAAAUGGGAGGUGAGCGCAGACCCUGCCAGCUGCCAGCCAGGUGUGGAUGAGGGGAGGAGCAGUGUCUGUACCCUCUGUACCUGGUGUUGCUUUGCUUUACUACCAGGAGAAAGAUUGUUCAUCAGCUGCUGUGAACCCAGACCUAGGACAGAUGAAGAUUUUGUGGCAAGGAACAACCACCACAUAACCAAAGCCCUCCUGCAUGCUAGGGGCAGAGCUCCCUCCCGCUCCGGCAGCUUACGGGUCUUCUGCACCUCCUGCCUCCGUGUCCCUCACGCCCCAGAGGAUCAGCUGUGCUUCUGUUGGCUGGGAAGAGACCGAAAUCAGGGCAUUUUGCUGUGCGUUUGCGUGGGAGGGCUGCUGUUAGCAUGGGCGUGAGAGCCGCACAUCUGAGAAACCAAUACAAGGAGAGGGGCCGCGCACGUGAAGCGGCUCAGGGCAGCGGGCCACGUUCCUCCUUUAGAUCUGCUCGGUGCUGACAAACCCAUUAGUGGCAGCUCGAUGCCGCUGCGAGCAGGGCUUUGCUGAGAGCCAGAGCCCCGUGGGCUGCCGAUGGUGUCUGAGCCACCAGAGCCUGUCCUGCAUGGCGCACGGAGCGGCCCCACAGCGGCAUUUUGGGGAGCUCUCGGCCUAGGGAUGGGUACUGCUGAGUCAGUUCCCUUCCCCAUUCCCCUCCUCGAGCCCUGCUGACAUGGCUUCCUGGCCCGGUGCUGUCAGGAAGAGGUGGUUUGGUUUUUGGGGAGGGCGUGAGUGUGUGUGCGGCCCGGCCUGGCCCACGAGGGCGUGAGAAGGGCAAGGAACCAUCCGCCCAGGCCAGCUGCUUCCUCCACUAGAGCACCGAGACGGAGCCCUGCCAUACCCAGACUGUUUGGAAACAUGUUGAUAAACUUCCAAACGUCUCUUUCACAAUCCAGAUGUGCUCGCCUUGGCUGUAAACCCUCAUCUGAAGAACAGGUGUGCUAUAAUGUUUCUAACAGUGGCCCCAAAGCCAGCUGGAGGCUUGAGCUGAGCGGGGGCCAAGGGGCUGGUGCCAUAUAGGAUAUGGAUACCGGGGCAGGGACAGGUGAGGCGGUGAGCUGUAGGUCAGCCGUAGUUCACAGCAACCUGGAAUCAGAUGGAGGGAAGGCAGGGACGGUGCCAGAACAUCCCCAGCCCACAGUCUCUGCUCAGCAGCACCAGAGCCAUCUCUGGAGAGGCUUCCCCGGCUGUAUGGGCAAGCUGGGUGCACCCAUGGGGUGGAAGCACGGGGCUGGAGCUGGCCACCAGCCUUGGUGGUAUUUUCUGUGGUUUCCCUCUGCGCUCCCACCAGCUCCCCGCUGGCUCUGCUGGAAACACUGAAAAGAGGGAGAUGCUUCUUUGGGCCAAGCUUCAAGUGUGCCUUGGGCCUGGAAAGCAGACAUCCUACCCGGGGUGGGGAAAGGUGCCUUGUUCUGCGCCUGGAGUAACCCCUGUCCCUGUAGGAAGAGGAUGCUACUUCAUCCAGAGCUUCUUGCUCUGCUCAGGAGGUGGUGGCCUGAUGUGGUGCAGCAUGGAAAGCAGCUUCCCUCCUCUUCUCUGCACUUGCCCUACACUUAUUUCUUCGUUAAACUCUCAUUCCUCUUUAUUCUUGUUUCCAGUACAAACCUGGGCCUCGCUGCAGGCUCUAGGAGCGUAUGCCACACCUGGGCGUGGGGUGGGUGACAGCAGAGGCAGCGUGGCAGCCGGUGAGGGGGCUCCUGGAGCUGUGAUGCCACUGGAGAGCUGGAUUCCCAGCCUGUGAAGUCAUCGCUGGGAAAUUGGGUACUCAGCCUAAUCCCAAUAAUUACCCAAUGGGACUGUAAAGUGUAAAUGAACUAGCCUAUUGCCUGAUGACUGACUACUUGAGCUCUAACACACACCACCUAAUAAUUGGCGCUUUCUGCAGUUCUCUAAGAUUCACUUAUUAAUAAGCUAUUUAACAUGCACUUGAAAUAACCGCAUUGUAACAAUCUGAGAUCAUUUCUCACACAGUCCUUCCAGCUCCCAAAGUGGUAGGAAAGCAUCUAAAAUUGUGUGAGGGGAGUGGGCCUGCCAUUUCAGGGUGGCAGAUUAGCCAAGCAAAAAUAUGGAUUCAAUGCCAGCCACAGAGGUCACUUCCAUUUCAGGGUGCGUGUGGCCAUCACCAGGUUUCCUCUGAAGUGCAAAGCUUGAGACUUCCAGCCUGAGUUCCCUAUGCCCUCAGCAGGAGAGGGUCGUAAGGAAGGACCAGAAGCUUGAAGGACAUGGAAGCUGUUGAUUUUUAGGAUGGCUGCUUUGGAAUCAGAAGCAGGAAUGAAAUUACUUUAAUCCCAAACACUCAGUAGAACUCAAAGCUUUACAAUGCUAUUAAGAAAAGUUCGUGAUGGUAGAGAUUUCUCAGAAAAAGCUCCUUCAGCACAGUCUGGCAUUACCUUGUUUCUCCCGUCCCCACUGUUGGGUUGUCUUGUUUGGAUCUUUUUUUUCUCCUCCAGGUUGUGGACCAGCCAUCAGGGAAGGAGAUCUUCUGCCCCAUGGUUCCUGCAUCUCUUCAGCUGUUCUUCCCAUUUCCCCGUUCCUCGCCAGUCUGUUACAAGCUGGUGUUCAUCAGCCACCUCAGGAAUAGCCUUCUGGAGUUGCUGAAGGGGCUUGAAAUAACGUGAUGGAUAAAUAAGGAGCCAGCUGUGCUCUGCAGCCAGCCCCACCAGAGCCUUUCUGCAGCAGUAGCCCACAGCGAUCUCCUCUCUGCCUCACUCCUCACUCCCAUCCCUUGGGUUCUGCCAUCUGUUCCUGCUCUCCAGGUUUCUCCUCCUUCACAGCAGCAUGUUUUCCUCUCGUGUUGUAUCCUCCUUUCCAGCGUGUGGUCUCAGCCCCCGGUAACGUACGGACAUGUGUUUAGACAACAGCACGACCAAAGAGUCUGGCCAGGGGACACCCACUUGGCUGGGCUGUGCCUCCCGCCCCCGACUCGGAGAGGGUCCUGGCUAAACGAAAGCAGAAGGAGCAAUAAACCCAGCUAGGAGGUGCUGGACAA